rnacentral:rRNA from 1 species
UACGGAGGGUGCAAACGUUGCUCGGAAUUACUGGGCGUAAAGCGCACGUAGGCGGCCAUUCAAGUCAGAGGUGAAAGCCCAGGGCUCAACCCUGGAACUGCCUUUGAAACUAGAUGGCUAGAAUCCUGGAGAGGCGAGUGGAAUUCCGAGUGUAGAGGUGAAAUUCGUAGAUAUUCGGAAGAACACCAGUGGCGAAGGCGACUCGCUGGACAGGUAUUGACGCUGAGGUGCGAAAGCGUGGGGAGCAAACAGG